UCAGAAAUCAGAUACCUCAAACGUUUAGACGCCGGCAAACUGAAGGUUAAAGCAGACGAAUUAGAAAAAGAAAUUGAGGAAAAAGAAAAAG